rnacentral:rRNA from 1 species
UUCGCCCUUAGAGUUUGAUCCUGGCUCAGGACGAACUCUGGCGGCGUGCUUAACACAUGCAAGUCGAACGAGAAUCUGUGGAACGAGGAUUCGUCCAAGUGAAGCAGAGGACAGUGGCGGACGGGUGAGUAACGCGUGAGGAACCUGCCUUUCAGAGGGGGACAACAGUUGGAAACGACUGCUAAUACCGCAUAACACAUGGGUGUCGCAUGGCACUGAUGUCAAAGAUUUAUCGCUUCAAGAUGGCCUCGCGUCUGAUUAGCUGGUUGGCGGGGUAACGGCCCACCAAGGCGACGAUCAGUAGCCGGACUGAGAGGUUGAACGGCCACAUUGGGACUGAGAUACGGCCCAGACUCCUACGGGAGGCAGCAGUGGGGAAUAUUGGGCAAUGGGCGCAAGCCUGACCCAGCAACGCCGCGUGAAGGAAGAAGGCUUUCGGGUUGUAAACUUCUUUUAAGAGGGAAGAGCAGAAGACGGUACCUCUAGAAUAAGCCACGGCUAACUACGUGCCAGCAGCCGCGGUAAUACGUAGGUGGCAAGCGUUGUCCGGAUUUACUGGGUGUAAAGGGCGUGCAGCCGGGUCUGCAAGUCAGAUGUGAAAUCCAUGGGCUCAACCCAUGAACUGCAUUUGAAACUGUGGAUCUUGAGUGUCGGAGGGGCAAUUGGAAUUCCUAGUGUAGCGGUGAAAUGCGUAGAUAUUAGGAGGAACACCAGUGGCGAAGGCGGAUUGCUGGACGAUUAACUGACGGUGAGGCGCGAAAGUGUGGGGAGCAAACAGGAUUAGAUCCCCCGGUAGUCCCCCACUGUAAAACAAGGAAUGCUAGGUGUGCGGGGACUGACCCCCUGCGUGCCGCAGUAAACCCAAUAAGUAUUCCACCUGGGGAGUACGAUCGCAAGGUUGAAACUCAAAGGCAUUGACGGGGGCCCGCACAAGCGGUGGAUUAUGUGGUUUAAUUCGAAGCAACGCGAAGAACCUUACCAGGGUUUGACAUCCUGCUAACGAAGUAGAGAUACAUUAGGUGCCCUUCGGGGAAAGCAGAGACAGGUGGUGCAUGGUUGUCGUCAGCUCGUGUCGUGAGAUGUUGGGUUAAGUCCCGCAACGAGC